ensembl:misc_RNA Metazoa_SRP Metazoan signal recognition particle RNA
GCCAGGCAUGCCUGUGCGUGCCUGUAGUCCCAGCUACUCAGAAGGCUGAGGUGGGAGGAUUGCCUGAGCCCAGGAUUUCUGGGCUGUAGUGCACUGUGCUGAUCAGGUGCCCGCACUCAUUUCAGCAUCAAUAUGAUGAACUCCUAGGAGCAGGAGAUUACCAGGUUGCCUAAGAAGGGGUGAACCAGCCCCAGCUGGAAAUGGAGCAGGUCAAAAUUCCAGUGCUGAUCAGUAGUGGGAUGGCACCAGUGAAUAACAAUUGCACUCCAGCCUGAGAAACAUAGCCAGAUCCCCCCCUUU